rnacentral:rRNA from 1 species
AAACGAUAGCUAAUACCGCAUGAAAUUGCUUAUCGCAUGAUAAUUAAUUGAAAGAUGCAAUUGCAUCACUACCAGAUGGACCUGCGUUGUAUUAGCUAGUUGGUGAGGUAACGGCUCACCAAGGCGACGAUACAUAGCCGACCUGAGAGGGUGAUCGGCCACACUGGGACUGAGACACGGCCCUG